rnacentral:piRNA from 1 species
UAGCCAUCAUUCCAGUAACACAAUGU